CCCGGCCGGCUUCGCCGCGGGCACCCGGUGCUUCCGUAGGCCCGGAGAGGCCUGGGACUCGAGCCACUCACCUUUCCCGUGCGGUGGGGCGCCCUCCAUGCCCAGGAGUUGUAGGGAUUAGCGAUGGGGACUGCAGAGCCCAGGAAGGAAAUGCGGGAAUCUGGAGCGCCUGCUGGCAAGAAGUUCUCCCAAGCUCCAUUCUGAAAGCCGUGUUUUCUUUAAAUGACAUUAAUGAAGUCUUUUUCAAUGAAACCUUUAUAAGAGUCAAAAACUAUAUCCAUUGGACUUGAGGUUUGACUUCUGGGUCCAUCUGAGGGGGAGAAUGCUUAACCCAAGUCUGAUAAUCUUGGACACAUGCUCUGCCAGGCCUCCAAGGAGUGUGCUCCCUCCAGACUUGAAAUAAAUUCU